rnacentral:rRNA from 1 species
AACGAACGCUGGCGGCAUGCCUAACACAUGCAAGUCGAACGAGAUCUUCGGGUCUAGUGGCGCACGGGUGCGUAACGCGUGGGAAUCUGCCCUUUGGUUCGGAAUAACAGUUGGAAACGACUGCUAAUACCGGAUGAUGACGAAAGUCCAAAGAUUUAUCGCCAGAGGAUGAGCCCGCGUAGGUUUAGCUAGUUGGUGUGGUAAAGGCGCACCAAGGCGACGAUCCUUAGCUGGUCUGAGAGGAUGAUCAGCCACACUGGGACUGAGACACGGCCCAGACUCCUACGGGGGGCAGCAGUGGGGAAUAUUGGACAAUGGGCGAAAGCCUGAUCCAGCAAUGCCGCGUGAGUGAUGAAGGCCUUAGGGUUGUAAAGCUCUUUUACCCGGGAUGAUAAUGACAGUACCGGGAGAACAAGCUCCGGCUAACUCCGUGCCAGCAGCCGCCGUAA